rnacentral:lncRNA from 1 species
GACCUUGAACAGAGACUCACCAGACUGACUGACUUAUCUUUCUCUAACUUCACAGUUCAGCCAGAAAUACAAUAUACAAAGAACAGAGAACAUACUCCAAAAAUGGAACGAGAGCCACUGAAGGACAUAACCAACGUGCAGACAGAAAAGAAAAGGACCCAACAGAACACCCAAAAUGGGCAACCAGCCCGCAAACGCUUCGAGAUCUUUAGAGGAUCUAACUGAGGUGCGGACCAGAGAGUGAGUUCCAAACAGAAAGUGGCCUCACUAUAACGACUCAAACUUCCCCAAUUUCUUCAACAGUUUGGCCUAUGCGAUAGCGGAGGCGGAUGGAUAGCGGAGGGUAACUUGGAGUCCUCGGUCAACUCCUGUGACCUGCUUUGUUAUUUGAUGAGACCAUGGCUCGUUGUAUUAAUAACUUAAGACGUUUAUAAAUAUUUUGGAAAUCUACAGACCUCCCACACAACAAAGAAACACAAAAGCCACUACCGUAAAACAGGAAGAAAAGGAUUGAAAGCAGUCGAUCCGAUUUGCAGACUUGGUUUGCGAUUCUCAAAUUUUUUUGAACCUUCGGCACGUUUAAGGCUCUGUUGAGCCGAUAAGAGACGAUGGACUUAUAAAAGAAAAAG